GAUGAACGCUGGCGGCGUGCCUAAUACAUGCAAGUCGAGCGGACGGACGAGAAGCUUGCUUUUCUGAUGUUAGCGGCGGACGGGUGAGUAACACGUGGAUAACCUACCUAUAAGACUGGGAUAACUUCGGGAAACCGGAGCUAAUACCGGAUAAUAUUUUGAACCGCAUGGUUCAAAAGUGAAAGACGGUCUUGCUGUCACUUAUAGAUGGAUCCGCGCUGCAUUAGCUAGUUGGUAAGGUACCGGCUUACCAAGGCAACGAUGCAUAGCCGACCUGAGAGGGUGAUCGGCCACACUGGAACUGAGACACGGUCCAGACUCCUACGGGAGGCAGCAGUAGGGAAUCUUCUGCAAUGGGCGAAAGCCUGACGGAGCAACGCCGCGUGAGUGAUGAAGGUCUUCGGAUCGUAAAACUCUGUUAUUAGGGAAGAACAUAUGUGUAAGUAACUGUGCACAUCUUGACGGUACCUAAUCAGAAAGCCACGGCUAACUACGUG
rnacentral:rRNA from 1 species